UCCCUGGAGGACUAGCGGUGAGGCCACAGCGUUCUCACUGCCGCGGCCUGGGUUCAAUUCCCGGCCAGAGAA